rnacentral:rRNA from 1 species
GCGGAGGGAUCAUUACCGAGUUUACAACUCCCAAACCCCUGUGAACAUACCACUUGUUGCCUCGGCGGAUCAGCCCGCUCCCGGUAAAACGGGACGGCCCGCCAGAGGACCCCUAAACUCUGUUUCUAUAUGUAACUUCUGAGUAAAACCAUAAAUAAAUCAAAACUUUCAACAACGGAUCUCUUGGUUCUGGCAUCGAUGAAGAACGCAGCAAAAUGCGAUAAGUAAUGUGAAUUGCAGAAUUCAGUGAAUCAUCGAAUCUUUGAACGCACAUUGCGCCCGCCAGUAUUCUGGCGGGCAUGCCUGUUCGAGCGUCAUUUCAACCCUCAAGCACAGCUUGGUGUUGGGACUCGCGUUAAUUCGCGUUCCUCAAAUUGAUUGGCGGUCACGUCGAGCUUCCAUAGCGUAGUAGUAAAACCCUCGUUACUGGUAAUCGUCGCGGCCACGCCGUUAAACCCCAACUUCUGAAUGUUGACCUCGGAUCAGGUAGGAAUACCCGCUGAACUUA